rnacentral:rRNA from 1 species
GAAUUUAAUUUUAAUUAUUAUAAGGAAUAUAUUAGUAUUUAGAUAAAUAUUAAAAUUUAAUUGGGAGGAUUGUUAAAUUUAAUUAACUUAAAUGAAAAAGGGAAUAUAUAAAUUAAUAAAUAAAAUUUUUUUGAAUGAUUAAUAGAAAUUAAAGGAAAAUUAAUUACCUUAGGGAUAACAGCGUAAUAUUUUUAUAGAGAUCUUAUUGAUAAAAAUGAUUGC